rnacentral:rRNA from 1 species
CGAAAGCCUGACGGAGCAAUGCCGCGUGGAGGAUGAAGGCCCGUGGGUCGUAAACUCCUUUUCUCAGAGAAGAAGCUCUGACGGUAUCUGAGGAAUAAGCAUCGGCUAACUCUGUGCCAGCAGCCGCGGUAAUACAGAGGAUGCAAGCGUUAUCCGGAAUGAUUGGGCGUAAAGCGUCUGUAGGUGGUUUAUUAAGUCUUCUGUCAAAGCUCAGGGCUUAACCCUGUUUAGGCAGUAGAAACUAAUAGGCUAGAGUACGGUAGGGGCAGAGGGAAUUCCCGGUGUAGCGGUGAAAUGCGCAGAUAUCGGGAAGAACACCGAUGGCGAAAGCACUCUGCUGGGCCGAAACUGACACUGAGAGACGAAAGCUAGGGGAGCG